rnacentral:snoRNA from 1 species
ACAACCUUACUUGACCAUGAUCUGUUCUAUAGGCUCGAAUGAGCACUUCAGUUUCUGCCCACUGGUCCAGAGCGUGAUUAACGACCAGGAUUCUUUUGAUGGGAUCAGUCCGAUGGCUGAAGUGGAUUGUUCCUGCCUUGCUCACAUCUGUGCAAGGUUGCCCAGUGGUUGUGUGACAAACU